UGCAAGUCGAGCGGAAACGAGUUAUCUGAACCUUCGGGGAACGAUAACGGCGUCGAGCGGCGGACGGGUGAGUAAUGCCUGGGAAAUUGCCCUGAUGUGGGGGAUAACUAUUGGAAACGAUAGCUAAUACCGCAUAACGUCUACGGACCAAAGAGGGGGACCUUCGGGCCUCUCGCUUCAGGAUAUGCCCAGGUGGGAUUAGCUAGUUGGUGAGGUAAUGGCUCACCAAGGCGACGAUCCCUAGCUGGUCUGAGAGGAUGAUCAGCCACACUGGAACUGAGACACGGUCCAGACUCCUACGGGAGGCAGCAGUGGGGAAUAUUGCACAAUGGGCGCAAGCCUGAUGCAGCCAUGCCGCGUGUAUGAAGAAGGCCUUCGGGUUGUAAAGUACUUUCAGUCGUGAGGAAGGC
rnacentral:rRNA from 1 species